rnacentral:rRNA from 1 species
GAAGCUGGGGGUGCCUGAAGAUGGUGACUUUAUGGGGAGCUAUCUAAGGUAAAACUGGUAACUAGGGCUAAGUCGUAACAAGGUAACCA